CAGUCGAGCGAAAGACGAGGAGCUUGCUCCUCUGACGUUAGCCGCUGACGGGUGAGUAACACGUGGAUAACCUACCUAUAAGACUGGGAUAACUUCGGGAAACCGGAGCUAAUACCGGAUAAUAUAUUGAACCGCAUGGUUCAAUAGUGAAAGACGGUUUUGCUGUCACUUAUAGAUGGAUCCGCGCCGCAUUAGCUAGUUGGUAAGGUAACGGCUUACCAAGGCAACGAUGCGUAGCCGACCUGAGAGGGUGAUCGGCCACACUGGAACUGAGACACGGUCCAGACUCCUACGGGAGGCAGCAGUAGGGAACCUUCCGCAAUGGGCGAAAGCCUGACGGAGCAACGCCGCGUGAGUGAUGAAGGUCUUCGGAUCGUAAAACUCUGUUAUUAGGGAAGAACAAAUGUGUAAGUAACUAUGCACGUCUUGACGGUACCUAAUCAGAAAGCCACGGCUAACUACGUGCCAGCAGCCGCGGUAAUACGUAGGUGGCAAGCGUUAUCCGGAAUUAUUGGGCGUAAAGCGCGCGUAGGCGGUUUUUUAAGUCUGAUGUGAAAGCCCACGGCUCAACCGUGGAGGGUCAUUGGAAACUGGAAAACUUGAGUGCAGAAGAGGAAAGUGGAAUUCCAUGUGUAGCGGUGAAAUGCGUAGAGAUCUGGAGGAAUACCGGUGGCGAAGGCGGCCCCCUGGACAAAGACUG
rnacentral:rRNA from 1 species